GGGUGAUUUGGACAAUAAAUUCAUAUCAAUGAACUUCAAAGGAGGAGGAAUUCCUUGGUGAUAGCGGCAACAAGAGAAUCUGAAAUGGGAAAUGGGGAGCAAGGAAUAUUCCACUUUCACCACCAUGACCAAAUACCUGAUUCCCAUCAGCAUCCAAAGUGUCCCUGAUGAAACAUCUCCUAACUGGAAUCUCUCGAGAAGCAGCCCAGCAUGAUUGGAGCUGAUCCAGCUGGCCUUCUUGUCUAACUGCCAGCUCCUGGCUCUUCAUCAGAGGCAGCAGCACUGCCCCACUCCCUGGAGCUGCCCACCUCCCCCAGCUUGGGACUAGGAGGAGAAUAA
rnacentral:lncRNA from 1 species